UGGGGGCUCCCUCCGAACAGUGAGUUGCAUGUGUUGGUCACAGGGACAAGUGAAUGUUAGUAAGCUAAUGAGAUCAUUUUUUGGAACUAUACGCCAAGUCCUCAAACUAAAUGUUUAUAGCUAAUGUUUUGUUAUGAUAAUUUGCCAUUGAGGUGUACACCCUCAUGCCCACAAACACACACGUUAUGGAAAUUUGUUCCUCGAAUUAAUACCUAUGCAGCCCACCAUGGAUUCUGCACGUCCCAACAUCACCUGGGCUCAUAUCUUAUCUCCGAAACCAUUAGAAGGCCACUGUCAUGCCGAGAAAGGGAACAGAGUGGUUUUUAGGGACUGAAAUGCAAGUCCCUGCGGGAUCACUUGUUAGAGAUUAAGCUGUUUCCAAAGCUGUGGUCCUGGGAAAGAGGCUUAAUGAGGGAGAAAGAGGCAGGGACGCCACGGACCGGUUAGGCGGCACGUUCCUGCUCAGCAGGCACUGUGGCUGUUAUGCUGCCCUCUGUGGCGGUCAGAAUAUGCGUGUCCCCAGAAGACAGCAGCUGACAGGGCAUGCGGCAGCACUCACAAGAGGUCAUGACCCAUACUUGUUUGCAAGUUCAAGGCAGGUAAAAUAACCUCUCAGUCAUUUUUGUCUUCUUAGCCCCAAAACCUGCUUUCCUGUCUUUUUCUCCCUUAGGAAUUACUCUGCCUCCCCCACCCCAAGGGACCUCAUCCUGACCUAUGCCACAACAUUCAGGGUUGACAGCCACCUGCAAGCUGGCCAGUCCAAACCCCAGGCAUGCCUCCCCUUCUCUCCACGACGCUCCUGGGCAGGGAACAUCUGGGUCCCGCCAGCCCAGCCCUCCCUUGCUGGCAUUUUGCCCAGCUCCUUUCCCUCUCUCCUGAGCUUACUCUAUCUGCAAAGCCAGGAGAGCGACCUGUGUUUCUUCUCAUACUACAGGUCACCCGCGGCAUAAACGGCUUAAUGUGGAUGUACUUUAAGGAAAGGGAGGAAAACCAAACAACUUAGAAAAUCAACCAUCCCCCCUCCCUGCCAAGCCUUGGUUCUCGACGGUGUCUGUGCACAUCAAGAUUGCAGCGAUGUGCGGGGGCCUCGGGCACGCAGUGUUGCAGUAUUUUCUGAAAGGCUUUGCUCGCUCUCUUCAGUACUUUUCCUCUUCUCACAGCCUGGAGCCUGCAGAGAAAUAGCCCUGGUUCCCCCUAGUGGCAGAAGCUCAUAGCGCCGACCUGGGACACUUCCCACGAUCGUGGUAAUUAGCCAGUAGUUUAGUUACAACCACACUCUCAUUAACUAACAGCGGGAGAAGAGACUGUCCCUGUUUCCUUGGAGACCUAGCAGCGCGUGCUUCUAUUGCAUUGACUGUUCCUGUAAGCUCAAAAGCCCCCAGGUUGUUAUCGCAUAGUGUUUACUGCAUUGGAUGGAGACCAAGACCUGGUAACACUGUGUUCCCCGCCGGUGCUUCUCAAAGUGUGGUCCUUGACCUAUGCAUCAGCAUCACCUGGGAGCUGGAUAGAAAUGCAAAUUCUCAGGCCUCUUACGCCUACUGAGUCCAUAACUCGGGGGUUCAGAGCCCAGGAAUCUGCAUUUUGACAAGUUCUCCAGCUGAUUCUGAUCCACAAUGAAGAAUGAGGACUGACCUAGACAAAGCAUGCCCUGGUAUUUUGUUCCUAUUAAUAACCAGAAACAGCUGGGCACAGUGGCUCACACCUGUUAUCCCAGCACUUUGGGAGGCCGAGGCAGGCAGAUCACCUGAGGUCAAGAGUUUGAGACCAGCCUGACCAACAUGGAGAAACCCCAUCUCUACUAAAAAUAUAAAAUUAGCCGGGCGUGGUGGCACAUGCCUGUAAUCCCAGCUACUCAGGAGGCUGGAGAUUCGCUUGAACCCGGGAGGCGGAGGUUGCAGUGAGCCAAGAUCACGCCAUUGCACUCCAGCCUGGGCGACAAGAGGGAAACUGAAAAAAAAAAAAAAAACAGAGACUUUUCCCAUUAAAGAGCUAAACAAAAGGAAGUGGAAAGAUACUUCUUCCUUGUUCCAAGCAAUAUGUACCCAAUAUGAUUCCAAUCAAUAACAUUUAUGUAUUGACUGGAAUGAGAAAUGCCUUCUCCCAGGUUUGUCUCUAAGGAGAUUCCCCUACUCCCCCCAUCGUCAUCCACUUCGUCAUCUAAACCCGCCUUGGAAUGGAGUCACUGAAGCAUCUCCAAGAGAUGAAGCAGUACUUGGAAAUUAAAAGCAGUGAGGACUCUGUCACCAGCAGGCGAGGUGGCCUCACAGAGCCCCCUGAGCUGGCACCGGCUGGCACAAGGAGGAAACCUGGAGAUCACCUAAAUCAACUUCCCGCUUGCCAGAGGGGGAAACCAAGGCCCUGAGUGGAAGACUGACACCAGAGGAAAAAGGGUUGCAUACAAGGUCACCUUCCAUGUCUCCCCUCCUCACUCCGGGUCCAGUGAUCAGGAACCGUGUGCCUAAUGUCCAACACCUCCACAACAAUGCACGUAACGUGACUGCGGAGCAUCCAGAAAGAGAAAAGCUUAACAACCUGCAGAGGGACAGAAGUUCACGUACAAAGCAAUCAGAAAAGCGUUGACUUCUUGCAGCAAGGGUGGAAGUUAGGAAACAGCAAAGCAAUGCUUUCAAAAUUCUAAGAAACCAUGAUACCCAUUCUGGAAUUUAACAUCCAUCCAGUAAUUAAUAAAGUUUGAGAACUGCAUAAAGGCAUUUUUAGGCAUGAAAGCUCAAAACUGUACUUUCCAUUUACCCUUUCUUACCCUACUGAAGGGUUUGUCCCAUCCAGAGAAGAAAUAAACCAAGAAAGAAGCAACAUAUAGCCCAGGAAAACGAAGACCCAAUGUAGAAGGGAAGGAAAAAGAUUCCCAGGACACCAGCUGUACAGGGCAGAGAGAAAGCAGGCAAGACAGUGGGGGAGGGAAGCUUCCGCAAUGGAAGGCUCCAGGAGGAAAGGAACUGAAUGGUCCAGAGCCUGAUGCAUCUGAUCCCAUAGAAAACCAUGUUUAGAGGGUUUUUUCCAACUCUGUUGGAAAAUCUGGAAAGAAUUAUAAACAGGAACACUGAAAAUUAAGCAGGUGAAGAAAAUGAGGCAAUUAUUAACAAAAUGUUUACAAGAGAUUAAAUGAACAUUAUAAUAUACUGCUUGACAAUGCAGAAAAUAGUCUUUGAUAGUGAUAAUGACAGAUACACUGAACACUGAUUUAACCAAAAAAUUAUGGGGGAGGCAAAGAAAGUGGUAGACAACAUACAUGUACAAAGGCAAGAGGUAAUGCCCAUCAUGCAGAGUCACAGUCCUUAUGGUAGCCCAAAGGCCCUAUGCAAUCUGUGUCACCCUGGCUUACCCCACCCAAAUUACUCUCCUCCUCAUUCACUUUCCUCCAGCAGUAAAGGCCCCUUUGCUGUUCUGUUCCUCAGUUACCCCAUGUCCUCCCACCUCAGGGCCUUUGCACAUGCUGUUCCCGUUGCUUAGCAUGUCCUUCCCCUAAUAUCCACAAGGUCCAGUCCUCCCAUCCUUCAGGCUCUGUGCUCAGAUGCCAUCUUCUCAGUAAGGUCACCGCCUUCUCCCACUACGUCAUUUAACACUGUACUUCUUCCCUGACAUUCCCUACAUCACCUCUGCUGUUGUUCACUUUUCUCCAUAUUAUUUAUAAUCAUCUCUAUAAAGGGCACCACCUCAUUAUAAUGAGAUGGUUAUAGUAAUAUUUUAUUUAAACAUUUGCUUAUUCUCCCUACUGGAAGGAAAGCACCACGAGGACAGGGAAUUCUGUUUGCUACAUGUAUCCAUAAUUUGUUUGCCGAUGCAUCCAUGGUUAGAACAGAGUGACUGGCACAUAGUAGGUGCUUUAGAAAAUGAAAAAGUAAAUCAAGAAAUAGCAACGUCUGCAUUUACUGGGAAAAAAUAAAGGUCAAUCCCAGAAAACGAACUUAAAAUAAUUGAAAGUGGUCCCCCUGUGGAUUGGCUUCAUGGUAAGGAAGAGAGAGACAUGGGCAAGCUGGUUUUCCUUGGAAGCCUUAUACUAUUGAUAUGGUUUUGGAUCUGUCUCCACCCAAACUUUAUGUCAAAUGUAAUCUCCAAUAUUAGAGGUAGGUCCUGGUGGGAGGUGACUGGGUAAUGGGGGUGGAGUUCUCAUGAAUGGUUUGGCACCAUGUCCUUGGUGCUGUCCUUGAGAUAGCGAGUGAGUUCUCAUGAUAUCUGGUUGUUUUAAAGUAUGUGGCACUGCCCACCUCGCUCUCUUGCUUCUGGUUUCGCCACGUGAACUGCCUGCUCCCACUUUGACUUCUACCGUGAGUAAAAGCUCCCUGAAGCCUCCCCAGAAGCAGAUGCCUCCAUGCUUCCUGUACAACCCACAGAACCGUGAGCCAAUUAAACCUCUUUUCUUAUAAAUUAUCCACUCUCAGGUAUUUCCUUAUAGCAACGUGAGAAUGGCCUAACGUAACUAUUGUUUCGCUUUUCAAACUGUGUGCAUAUAUUACUUUAAUAAAAAGUAAAGAAUUUUUGGCCAGGCGCAGUGGCUCACGCCUGUAGUCCCAGCACUUUGGGAGGCCGAGGCAGG
rnacentral:lncRNA from 1 species